rnacentral:rRNA from 1 species
GAUGAACGCUGGCGGCGUGCCUAAUACAUGCAAGUCGAGCGAACGGACGAGAAGCUUGCUUUUCUGAUGUUAGCGGCGGACGGGUGAGUAACACGUGGAUAACCUACCUAUAAGACUGGGAUAACUUCGGGAAACCGGAGCUAAUACCGGAUAAUAUUUUGAACCGCAUGGUUCAAAAGUGAAAGACGGUCUUGCUGUCACUUAUAGAUGGAUCCGCGCUGCAUUAGCUAGUUGGUAAGGUAACGGCUUACCAAGGCAACGAUGCAUAGCCGACCUGAGAGGGUGAUCGGCCACACUGGAACUGAGGCGCGGUCCAGACUCCUACGGGAGGCAGCAGUAGGGAAUCUUCCGCAAUGGGCGAAAGCCUGACGGAGCAACGCCGCGUGAGUGAUGAAGGUCUUCGGAUCGUAAAACUCUGUUAUUAGGGAAGAACAUAUGUGUAAGUAACUGUGCACAUCUUGACGGUACCUAAUCAGAAAGCCACGGCUAACUACGUG